rnacentral:rRNA from 1 species
UACGUAGGGGGCAAGCGUUGUCCGGAAUCAUUGGGCGUAAAGAGCGUGUAGGCGGCCCGAUAAGUCCGCUGUGAAAGUCCAGGGCUCAACCCUGGGAUGCCGGUGGAUACUGUCGGGCUCGAGUCCGGAAGAGGCGAGUGGAAUUCCUGGUGUAGCGGUGAAAUGCGCAGAUAUCAGGAGGAACACCAAUAGCGAAGGCAGCUCGCUGGGACGUUACUGACACUGAGGCGCGAAAGCGUGGGGAGCGAACAGG